rnacentral:misc_RNA from 1 species
UUUCCGUAGGUGAACCUGCGGAAGGAUCAUUAAAAAAUAUCACAUUUGUUUGUGAUUUAAUAAUCAUCCUACCCUUUGUGAAUUUGUUUUGUUUGAAAUUUAUGUUGUCUAUCCCUGGAUAUGAAAGAAAAGUCGUAAGAUUUUUUUUUCAUUCUAGGGAAUAGGCUUUCAUAGACAUUUUUUUAAAUUAAACAUUUGUAUUCAUUUGUCUAAAAUUUAUUUUUAAUAAUUUAAAAACAACUUUUGACAAUGGAUCUCUUGGUUCUCGCAACGAUGAAGAACGCAGCAAAAUGCGAUAAGUAAUGUGAAUUGCAGAAUACGUGAAUCAUCAAAUUUUCGAACGCAUAUUGCACUUUUUUAGUUUACUAAAAAAGUAUGUCUGUUUGAGUAUCAGUAAAAUAUUCUCAUAAAAACUAUUGUUUUUAUGGUUAUGAGUGUUUUACAACGAUAACAAGUUGUUUCACUUUAAAUUGAUUUUUUAAAAAGCCAAUUUGGUUUUUAUUAUUAAAAUUGGAUAAAAUUUUCCCGUAAAAAAGGAAUAAACUUUUCAGUUUUUAAAAAUAAAAUCCUAAUUGACCUUGAAAAAAGGAAAUUUAAUUAUAAAACUAACUUGAUCUCAAAUCAGAUAAGAGUACCCGCUGAACUUAAGCAUAUCAAUAAGCGGAGGAAAAGAAACUAACAAGGAUUCCCUUAGUAACGGCGAGUGAAGCGGGAAGAGCUCAAAUUUGAAAUCUUCAAGGUUCUACCUUGACGAAUUGUAGUUUAAAGAAGUGUUUUCUGUUAGUGGAGUGGCAAAAGUUCUUUGGAAUAGGACAUCAUAGAGGGUGAGAAUCCCGUAUUUGGUCAUUCCUUCUAGCUUUGUGAUACACUUUCAAAGAGUCGGAUUGUUUGGGAAUGCAGUCCAAAAUGGGUGGUAAAUUUCAUCUAAAGCUAAAUAUUGGCGAGAGACCGAUAGCGAACAAGUACCGUGAGGGAAAGAUGAAAAGAACUUUGAAAAGAGAGUUAAACAGUACGUGAAAUUGUCAAAAGGGAAGCGUUUGACACCAGUGUUGUUUUUCCGAAAAUCAAUUAUAGAUGUUUUGUUUCUGAGGAGUGAUGACUUCAUCGGCUUCCUUCUCUCUUUACGAAACUUUUGUAAUGCACUUUUCGGUUAACAAGUCAACAUCAAUUUCUUUUGUUGUAAAAGAGUAUUCGGAAGGUGGCUUUCUUUUCGGAGAAAGUGUUUAUAGCCCUAUACUUCUACAAUCGGAGAGAUUGAGGUCUGCAGCGUAGAUCCUUCGGGGUUAGAUACACUUGUGCUAAGUUAUAGCUUUUCAU